AUAGGUGCUAGGACAGAAGG
rnacentral:misc_RNA from 1 species